GGGUGGUUGAGGAAUAUACAUGUUGGUCUCACCACAGUUAGACAUUCUACACUGCAUACUGAAUUGGGUUGGUUGUGCACUGUGUGUAUUUCGUUGUAACGUUUCGGCAGCAUGUGGGUAGUGCUCUUCCUCUGUUGUCUACACCUAGUAGAGUCGCAGGCAGUCCCACCCGGAGAUGCACAUCCUCGCGGGGGUGCGGUUCCUCGCGCGGCUGCACCGCUUCCGGAUUUUGGAACUCAGCUGAGACUCCCUGAUGGCAUCCCAUACUCCAAGAGUUCUGGCAGAGAAAACACUGUUAAAAAUCCCCUCCACGUCCCCGAGUUCCUUCCCUUCGCCACGAACGCUCAGGGUGUUCCACAACUCUCAAUUAAGAACAUACAGGACAGUCUGAGAAAGCCAACCAAACAAGCGGACAAAGUGGUCACGCAGACGAAGCGCCCGAAUUUGGACGGGUUGACAAUUGAGCAGAUAAUAGAGAAGUUCGGACCCCCCGGGAACAAGCCUCAGCCCGAAGCGAGGAAUCCACCCCCUGGAUUUACCAGGCACCAAGUCUCCCCGGCUCUUCCCAGGACUCCGGUCGGGGACAGGGUGGCAAAGGAUGAACAUUAAGUGGCUUGUCAAAAAGAUGAACUAUCAACAACAACAACAAAAGUCGAAGACAGUGUAGGAUGUCGCAAUUUAGAGCAAAGAAGAAGAUAACAAAAUGCUUGCGUCUGAAGCGUUGCUUAUUCCUUUUUGACUAGGAACCAACUCUUUAAAAUACGUCAUCUUUCAUGACGGUAACAAAAACUGUAUUUGUUAGCAGUUGUACCAUGUAGCAUGGUACGCUAUAUUAUCGCGGUAGUUAACUUAUAAUGGAUCGCAGUGGCGAACGCUUACUAACCUAUUAAACAUGUCACACGCAAAAUGUUUCUUGUUCUGUAUUCCCACUUUUAUGACUCAUCAAUUAUUAUUGAUCGAUGUUGAUUUUCUUAACCGAGUUCAAUAGCGACUCAAUGGCGGGCAACAAUAUAUCAUCGCGGUAUCACUAUGUGGUGUGAUACGAGUGGAUUGUGUUGUUUAAAUAACUUUCUGUUUGGGAUUAUGCAUAAUCAGCAUGCAUACGACCUGUAGGUUGGGUCAAGGGACAUCGUCCAAACAAAUGGGUUCUUUCCUAACCAAUUUCGAAUGGAGGUAUUCCACUUAAAAACAUUCCACAAAAAAAGUUGACGUGUAUACUUACGAGUAGCCGUGACAGCGCAACGAGUCCGUUAUUUGAUCAAGCGAUGAAAUGUCGUGCUUAGAUUUCGAUAGUAAACAGUCAGCAGUGGGUGUGGAUUACGAGAUUUACCGAUACCGCGACAAUACAGAGCCCGCAAUCAUAGAGAGACACACUAUAUUAUCCGUACUUUUACUGUCACAUCUUGGUCCAUAUUCACAAAGCGAUAAAAGCUAAGUCCCACCUUCUUUAUUUUCACAUAUCUCCACUUCCGCUGUAUCUCUUGGAAAUCUACAAAUGACAUUCGUCUCAUUUUGAAUAGUGUCCAUGGCACCAAGGAUACCUGAUGAAAAGUUGGUACAAGAAAACCGAUGUUUCUCCAGAUGGUCACGAGUACUGAGUCACAGCAUAUGUUUUACAACCACGGAUCAUCACUUCAUGAAUAUGUCGCUCCGUUAACAAAUACAAUAUUGUUUCGGCAGAUAGUUAAUACAGGAUAAAACAUUUAAUGCCUUUUUGAUAUGGAAAUAUAAAGCAAGCCGUGGGUAACGUGGUUUUGUUUUAGGUAUAAUGGACUUACGACUGUCGUAGAGCUACGAUAGCUUAGGUAAGAACAUUUCAUUUUCAUGAUUUAUCGUACAGAGAACAACAUAAAGUUUAAGCAGAACACUAUCUAUCAAUGUGUAUAAACAUAUCAGUGUUUUAGACAUAUCUAUCAAUAUAUAUAUAUAUAAAUAUAUAUAUUGGUUCUAACUGCCUAUUGUCAAUGGUGGAUAAAUAUAAAAAUAUAAAGUACCGCGAUGUGUAGACAUGAACGUCUGUGAGAUUGAUCGCACAUCCUUGAGAGGACCAUGUAUGAUAACGGUAAAUUGCGACCCACUAGAAGUGAGAAAUUUCAAAUGGAGACAUGUUGUCGAACACUUCUUUGAAAAUCUUCAAAAGAGUUCAAAUGGCUGUCGUUUAUAUCCUUUCUCUUUUUUAAAUCAUAUCAAGUGAUAUUUAAAAGAUGUAGAUAAAAACAGGGAUGUGGUUUGGGGGUAAUUUCAUUUUAAUAGAGUGAAGGACUUUUGCCCUUUUCAUGCAAAAGCUAAAACUCUGCAUGUAAUUAAUUAUUUCAGAAAAUAUGCUAGCUGGUUUUUUGAUGGUUUUUUUAAAAUGGUUGCCUAUGUGCAAAUCAUUCUUGUUCUUUUUCUAGAAAAUGUUACAAUUCAGUUUCGCUUUACCAAGCAUUUACGGAUUUUAAGGUACAUGUAGUCAAUAUUUGUAUGAGACAAAAUAAAACACGACUUGAAAGGGUGAACAUUUGAGCAGUCUGUACGGAGUGUUUUAGUUUAAAGGAAGGUUUACUAUUCUAAAUCAGGAAGGGUGGGUGUGAAUAUGACAGUCACAAGCAAGACAUCAAUCUGACACGCAUGCAAUGUGUGUGGGGUUUUUUUUACAAUCAAUUAUCUUAAAUUAAACAUCUUAUUAUUAACUAUCUCUGUAACAAAAAUAGGACCCUUUCUGGAUUAAUAACGAAGUAUUGCAGAAAAAACGUAGUUAUCCAAUCUGUUCGUUCGCAAAAAAGCUUCAUUAUACUAUGAUUACAUUCUGUUAAUCGAUCUUAUACAUAUUUCAGUGCAUGUUUAUUGUUUUUUUAGUGAAUAUGUAAAACAUGAAUAAAAUGUAUCUUAUCGUUUGCCCAUUGUUGUUUUCCAGAAGUUCAUUAUCAUUGUAACAUCAGACUGGCGUCAGAUUUAGAUGGUCAAUUUCUUCCGGUCAGUAAUUCGUGGCACCGAUAGAGACGUCUAGGUCUUUAUCAGUUGUUUAUCCUUCUACCCUAGACAAGGUCGACAUCCGUAUCCUUAGGACAUAUACCAUGAUGCAAUGGGGUUAAGCUGAUUCUUCAGCUAUAUAAAUAUGAGAUGACACGAGAUGUCAUUAUAGUCCACCUUUGCAGAAUAGCAGCACCAGCUCUCAGAGGUACCUUCAUUGAAACCUAUCACUGAGCUCCUGCAACUCUUUGAUUUCACACUCUCGACAUGACGUCACUUCUGACCUUGUGCCUUGUGAUCUGUGUGGUGGGGUUCGCCGGGGCGGAUGGGAGGGAUUACUGGGACGGCACGCAGCCGACUAACAUCCCCCUGAAAAAUUAUCCCCCGGGAUUUCUAACGCUUGAAGAAAUUAAAACACUUUUCUCCACUGAUGUGGGUAUAAGUGGGCCAGUUCGUGUCACAGCUGAGCAAAUCAAGAUGUCGUUGAUGGGUAAGGACUGAACACUGCAAACGGAAGUUGAAAACGUUCUUGGUGACGUCAGACAUUGAACUGCCUUAGGUGCAAGGGGGUGCAACUCUCCUUCCUCUAUAGAGUACCGUGUGGCUGUCAUCACAGAGUAGUUCGCAAGUUCUAGAGUAGAACUGUGCCGGCAUAUACGGAAAGGAACCUGUUUAAGUGUGACAAAACUUUAGUUUACAUGCAUACACGGAAUACUGUCCUGAAACUGGAAUUUAUAAAUCUUUCACUUUUUGUUUGAAUAAAAUACGAUAAUAUU